rnacentral:rRNA from 1 species
UAAUACAGAGGGUGCAAGCGUUGCUCGGAAUCAUUGGGCGUAAAGGGCAAGUAGGUGGUCUCAUUUGUCUAGGGUGAAAUCCUUGAGCUUAACUCAAGAAGUGCCCUAGAAACGGUGAGACUCGAGUUCUGGAGAGGGUCGUGGAAUUCCCGGUGUAGCGGUGAAAUGCGUAGAGAUCGGGAGGAACACCAGAGGCGAAGGCGGCGACCUGGACAGAUACUGACACUCAACUGCGAAAGCGUGGGGAGCAAACAGGAUUAGAUACCCUGGUAGUCCACGCUGUAAACGAUGGGAACUAGGUUUGGUGGGUCUUGACCCCCGCCGAACCGGCGCUAACGCACUAAGUUCCCCGCCUGGGAAGUACGGUCGCAAGACUA